AGAAAUUUGCCACCGGGUAAAUUACAGCGCUGUGACUGUGUCGUUAGGUCUUAGAAGACACAGCUCCAGCGCUUUUCUUUUG
rnacentral:ncRNA from 1 species